GUGCACAUUCAUUGACCUGCUACCUCCUGUUUGUGUGAGCAGUGUUAUUUUACUGUAGAUAGAAAUAGGUAAAGGGAUAAUUUUAAAAAUUU
rnacentral:snoRNA from 1 species